rnacentral:rRNA from 1 species
UGCGGGAGGCAGCAGUGGGGAAUAUUGCACAAUGGGCGCAAGCCUGAUGCAGCCAUGCCGCGUGUAUGAAGAAGGCCUUCGGGUUGUAAAGUACUUUCAGCAGUGAGGAAGGUGGGUAUGUUAAUAGCAUACUCAUUUGACGUUAGCUGCAGAAGAAGCACCGGCUAACUCCGUGCCAGCAGCCGCGGUAAUACGGAGGGUGCGAGCGUUAAUCGGAAUUACUGGGCGUAAAGCGCAUGCAGGUGGUUUGUUAAGUCAGAUGUGAAAGCCCGGGGCUCAACCUCGGAAUUGCAUUUGAAACUGGCAAACUAGAGUACUGUAGAGGGGGUAGAAUUUCAGGUGUAGCGGUGAAAUGCGUAGAGAUCUGAAGGAAUACCGGUGGCGAAGGCGGCCCCCUGGACAGAUACUGACACUCAGAUGCGAAAGCGUGGGGAGCAAACAGGAUUAGAUACCCUGGUAG